ensembl:misc_RNA Gm26023 predicted gene, 26023
GCCUGCUCAUCUGGCUGCGACAUCUGUCACCCCAUUGAUUGCCAGGGUUGAUUCCGCAGAUCUGUCUGGCUAGGCGGGUGUCCCCUUCCUCCCUCACCCCUCCAUGUGUGUCCCUCCCGAAGCUGCGCGCUCAUGGUCAAAGAGGAUGACCUUCCCCGAAUAGAGGAGGACUGGUCUUUGAUCGAGGGUAUAAGAGUAGCUGCACUCUCCUGCUAGAACCUCCAAACAAGCUCUCAAGGUCCUUUGCCUGCUCUUAAGUCUUGUUUCCUUCUAUUUAGUUGCCUUGUAUUGCCUCAAUAUGAGGGCUUUCAUU